UUGGCUUAUCUCUUUGCAGCCCAUAAGCAGUCUACUUAAUGACUGCUGCUUUUGUAUGGAAGAAAGAAAGAUUUCAAGCCAGAUUCUUUGCCGCUUUCUUUAAAAAUAUGUAUUAUUUAUGCUACCCAAGUGAAAACUUCCUUGAGGUAAUGACAACUGGAAUCAUUCAGAACAUUCCUACAAGAGGGCAGCUGCCAAUCUGCUGCCUGCUUCCCAUCACUGCCCAAUGCCCAGCUCCCUCCUGCUCUCCAGGUGUACCUGCCUUCAGCCUUCAGCUCGUGUGGAUCUCCCUCAUGACUCUGUUUCUUCCAAAUUAUGUUUUAUGAAGCAGACCUUAUUUGUAGGGUGGAUUUCUUUUUUUCUGCAGCUGAAGUGUUAUUAUUUAUUGGAGCCAGUGAAGCACUGUGCAUUGUGCCAGCCUUAGCAAAACUGUUCCUUUAUAGCCCCUUUCUCAUGGAUAUACAGCAGCUUGUGUCUAUCCUAUCUCCUUUCAUUUUCAUUUAUGAAAUAUAACGGUGUGGGAGGCUCACAUAUGUAACUAACCAAAUUAUUUGCAUUCCUUUGAUUAGCUCGUUAUGUCACAUUAGUGUGGUAAGGUAUGUGUGCAUGCAGAAGCAGUCCAGCCUCAGUGUUUCAGCAUCAUCUACCAAAUCAAUAGAUUGUAUAAAUAGUUUUAAAGCUAAUGUGCACAUUCAUGGAUCUGCUGUCUGUAGGCAGGGUUCUUCGGUGCCUGAGUUAUGGAGUGGGCCUCACCGUGCUUUUUCCAGGUGAUUUACUGAUCCUGUUGAAGGGCUUACAGGAAAGUUGUGAGCUGCUUCUGUGGAGGAUUCUUUCUUUCUCUCUUCAAAUAUUAAAUAAGUUGUCUGAGCUUGAGUCGUCAAUUCAUUCUGAUAGAAUCAGGUGAGUUUAUGCUGAUUUAUGUGUCUAAAUGAUAUUAACUUUGUAUUCCUGGAACUGACAGAUUUAUCAUCCCUUUAUAUACAUAGGUGAAAAGAUAGAAAUAUACCUGAUAAUGAACCACUAAGAGACUGUUGGAUACUAUAUGUGUGUGUAUGUAUAUAUAUUAUAUAAAGCAAGCCCUGGGAGCUCCUUAACAAAACAUCAGAGAUCAAAACUGUCAUCUGUUCUGCCAUGGUGUCCUGGUGCAAAGAUGACAAGGUUUACUGGAACUAAUAAAGUAACACAGCUGUACAUGAGCGCAAGCCACAACAUCAUCAUUUCUAUUGUUCGAAUGAGUAAGAGAAAUGCUAGCUUUGUUUGUGAAGAGUCCUGGUAUUUUUUCUUUAGAAUUUAAAUUCUUUACGUGAUAAAGAAGGUGGGAAUCAAGGCAAAGUUCAGGAACCGUUAGAGAAAGGUGCUCUGACACUUUGCCAUAGGUGGAUUAUCCAUAUGCAGAAGGUCGCAACCUUAAGAGCGGAAAGGGACCCUCUGUCUUUAGCAGUGUAAUUGUAUUUAUUAUCUGGUGCCUGACAACUAAAUUGGAAUGAUUCUGCUCUGCAAAGUGAAAAUAGAAGAGUUAUCAUAAAAUCUCUGAAUCAUUCUGUUUGCAUGGAACAUAGCAUCUAGUCCAGUCCCACCACUGUAACGCUGGGGUCCUAAAGCAAGUGGGUUUCCUAAAUGUAAGAGCUCUCACUUCCAUUUCCUGAGAUACGUGCUGGUUUGGAUGGAAUGUCUUUCUUUAUUCUGCAUGCCUUUUGGAAAAGAUAAUACAUAGAGUAGAUUAAACCCAUUUUUUCCUCCUUUUUUAUUUUAAUGCUCAGAUAGGGCACAUUAAAACAGCUGUACUACUGCUUAAUGGGCUUGGCUGUUUCUAAAGAAGUCAGGAAGAAGUAUAUUUCUUUCUGCUCAAAUUGUAGAAGUUAUUUUUGUGUCCCAUGUGUAUUAUCUCGAAUGAUGGCACAUAUUUUUCAUUAUGUUUUCUUGGCUUGUGCUUUUCCUGAAAGCACUGUUCUAUACUGCACAUUACUCUGUAAUCUUCUUAAGUCAUAAUUUCACUUAGACUGUAAAUAGAAAUCCAUUUGUGUAAUUAAUGAUUGUGUUAUUACAGGAGGAUUUAUUUAUUUAAUUUAACUUCCCUUACACGUAGAUGUCAAACAUGCCAUCGUUAGCUUGGAGCUGGGCCACGUAAUGUAGUUAGCAGCCUCCCUCUUCCUGAAGUCAGAACUGGAACAUUCGUGGCAGAAGCUGCAUUUUAGACCUCAGAGUUAUGAGAGAGAUUUGUCUGAAAGUGGAAAUCAAACAGCUGAGCAGCCGUGUUUGCCCAAGGCAGUGUCUCUGAGGGAGUAUGACUUUCCCUGUCCCAUCACUCUUAUUCAGAAGUUAAUCCUCAAAUCGAAUGUGGGAACUGCUCUCUUCUUACAUGUGUGUGACACAGCUUACAAAUGAAUGGAGGAGUGCGGAGGAAAGCAACAACUGUCUCUUGGAAGAAAAAGGAAAGCCAUGGAAGGGACUGCAGAAAGGCAAAAGCUUUACAGAUGGGCAGAGGAGUACAAAGAGGUGGAAACAGUUUGGCUCAGACCACAAUGUGAAUCAAUGGCAGAACCAGGAAUAGGGUUGAGAAGUGGAGUGCACGCCUGUGCUGAAACCACUCAACCGCACUGCUCCCCACGUAAGAAAUGGAAAUGAAUUUUUAAUAUUCCUGUUUCCGAAGGAAGGCUUUGGAUUUUAGAAAAAUUAAAUAUUUAUUUCAUUAUGUAUGACUUCAUAAGCCCAUAAUUUAUACCAGAUAGAUUUAUUGGCUUUAUUUCCCCAUGAUAAUUAUAUAGCCCUUGUUGAUCUAAUGGGCUUGUCAUUUUUAGUGAUGUAUCCAUCUGCCCAAAGAUAAGCAUUAUUUGCCUGUUAUAUAAUUAGGAACACAAUAGAAUGCACACAAAAAUUGCACUGAGCUUAAACACUAAAGUGAAGGGGUUUUUCCCUCUCCCAAAUGCAGGUUUAACACACCAAAUUAGUUUGGAACUACUUCAGUUUCCUUAGCAAACUCAAUCCUCUGAUAUUUAUCAGGCUGGCAGCUUUGAGGUCCUCUAUUUACUUCAAAUACUGAACAUUUGAACUGCUGAUGUACAGCAACAACACCAGCAGAUUGCAGAGGGUUUGGAAACAUUGAGCAGUGUGCAUCAGGAGGAAGGCUGUGCUCACUGCUGCUGCCUGGGUGGCCGUUCUGCCCAAAUCUCAGAGCAUCAUGUUUGGCAUGAACUGGAAGGGAGCACAGAAACGCCUAAAACAGCCAUAAGUAAGAGAGGCUUUCCUUACGUCCACAAAGUCCUUCUGCUUCACAAACUCAAGGAUUACUUUACUGCUGAUAGUAGAGUACCAAAGCCUCUGCACUGUAAUGUAAGUCAAAUGUUUCAGUCUGUUUGUCUGAUCAGCCUCGAAAGUCAUUUAGCCUUAGGAAUUAUCCCUAGGAAUGCAAUAAAUCAGCGUUGCAUUUUCAGCUGAAAGAUGUGUAUUUAUAAAAAAUUGGGCAUUAUUAAAUUUUGAAUUCCUGCACUAUUAUGGUAAGUAAAUAGAGUCUUACAGGUGCAUUUAGCCAGGGAGUAAAAAGGAGGGCACUGCUGGAUAUUUUAUAUAAAUGUGUCCUUUAAAGGUUAAGCACAAAUGAAAGGAUGUAGCAUAUCAUUCAAUUACAUUACUGUUUCAAAGACAGCAUUAUUGUUACAUAAUUUAAAACCAGAUAAUGCCUUAGAGAAAAACAAGGAUCAAGGGAGGGGGAUGUGGUGACACAAAAGAACCUCCUGUAAGCGUAGGAAAAAGACACAGGCAAUUGAAAGUUUAAAUGGACCUGAAUCUGGAUGGACACAUUAACUCUUAUCCUGCCUUCAGUCUGUUUUCUCUUUGGGCCCUGAAACAGCAUCAGUCCAUGUCCUGCCCUUGCUCUCUAAACUUCUCCCAAGCCUUGCAAGCAUCAGAGGGAGAUAUCAGAGCCAGAGCCUCUCAUCUCCUUUCCUCCCUUGACCUCACCUCUGUCUCCCAUACUUCUCCAGGCAGCCCAUGCAUACUCCUGAGGAAGAAUGUGGCCAGCAUACUGCCAAGUGCUGCUAAAUGGAAGUGGGUAGGGGAUAACAGGAAAAGCAAAAUGACUGGAGGAAGAUUUCUUCCCGAUGCUGUAAUCUCAUGCUGCUGUUUAUCUCUACCUGUGGCUUUGCUUAUUCCUUCGUCCCCUCCAUAAAUCACUGCAGCUGGUGGUGCAUUCACCCAAUCUUCCUGCCAGGAUGGUGCCAAACCUCUUCCCGUCAGACACCUGAACUGGUGAAUUCUCACAGCUAAACACCCCUAUUUUCAACUAGGGAAACUGAAGUGAAAGAAAAUUUCAAAGGUGGAAAAGAACACAGCCAGGCAGAGGAGACUCUUUCUCACUCCUUCAACCACUGCUGGUGAAAUGAGCCCCACACUACGUGAUCGAGAGAACUGACUUCCAGCUUUGAUAGGUUAUAAAUAGUAGGCACUGUAAUUGUCCAGCAGUUCUCCUGCAAGGAAGAGUGUAAUUCUGAACCACGUGAUCAAGCCAGGUGUUAUUCCAUGCUACUGCUUCUGAAAAUGCUGACACAACAGAUGCAGGCAUACGGGUUCAGUGAAUCAGGAAGAGAUAAGUGUCAGCUUUCCUCUAUGAUUGUGGCUGCAAAGAUCUUUGUGCUGCAUGUUUAUUCUCCAGUGUUUAGAAAGAAGUUCAGCUAUACCAGUACUUUGUUACUUGAAAACUGCACUGAAAGUGGGUAUUUUCUGCUAUUACUUAAAGCUCAGUGUUGGUUGCAAACCCAAAGAAAGCGGGUACCCAUGUUCAAUACCCCUACCUAAUGCACUGUUGUGUUAGAUACCACAGUUCUAAUUCUGUAAGAUAGUUUUCUUGGAAACAGAAGAAAAUCAGUCUGGAAUAGAAAAAAAUCCCUCCGGAAGAUUCAGUUUCCAUUGUAAAACCAGCUGUUUGCAUUUUUAAUAUCCCACCUUGCUAGUUUUUCUUCUUCCAUCAGGAAGAAGUUCAUAACAAGUUCACACCUUUUAAUCUGAGGGUAAUGAACAGACCUCCCAGUGUUGAAAGCCUGCUGUACAAACAGCAAAAUUAUUCAGACUUCCAGGAGUAACUUAAUUAGAAGGAUUCUUCAGAGUGGCUUUUUUUUUUUUUUCAUUUGAAAAUGUGGUAUUUUUCACACUGUACAGCACAAAGCCUUUGGCAUUUUUGUAAAGUGCAAGAAAAUAAUCAUGGGGAGUUUCUGUUACUUUCUCUAUAGGAGUUGCUACCCAUUUUUCUUUUUAAGCUAAUUUAAGGGACAAAGUAGCUCAAUAAACUGUUUUCUGUUUAAAAGGUGACUUUGAAGAAGAGUGACAUGGUAACUUUCCACAGUGAUUAUGGAAAAUAUUGUUUCUGCUAUUUAUGAAAUACACUGUGAUGCUCUUUUGAUUAAAAAUGAAGAUGAAAAUCUUUCAAAGCCUUUGAGACAAAAUUAUUGCAGCAAACAAAAGAAUGAGAAGAGUUUGCUGAUGGUGUGGAGUUCUGCAUGGUGUUGAAUAUGUGCUGCUCAGUGGAAGAACCAUUUCUAGAAAUGGCAUUUGUCCCCUCAGACUUGUUAUGCGCAGGUGUUUUACUUAUCUGUUGUUCCACUUAUGUUUUCUUUUCUUUCAACAAAUACCCAGGACAAGUUAAAGUGAAUCCUAUAUUCUCUGACUAGAUGCUAAUUGCCAGCAUCAGUACUGAACCUGAGACAGACAUUAGCUCCGUGUGCAAUUACCAGGCUGAUGUAUUGAGGAACUGAGAUCCCAAGAUGAAAACCAGAAGAAGGAGGUGCAGUACUGUCAUUUUGGAAGAUAGUACCCCAGUUUCACUGCUUAUAAUUACAGAACAUCAUUAACUUUUGAAAAUGAACAGGAAAAUCUGCUAUUAGUGUUCUUUCCAGCUGUGAUGCAGCACGAGGGGUUCUCAAUGUCUAUGCUUGCACUUUGUUGCUUCAGCUAAAACAUCCCUUUCUUGAAGAGAACAUUUAUGACUGAGAAGACCAGGGACUCUGGGAAUGAUAUUCUAACAGAGUUAGAAAAUGCCAGAAUGUUACUGACCUCAAUCAAGAUUACAUUUCUGAAGCAGUUUGUGACAUUCUCUUGCCAUGAGUAGUUGUAUAGUUUGUUUUUCAGUAUUAGGAAGAUCUACAGUAAAGGAACAAUGCAAUUCAUCUAAAGAGAGGAAAUUAUAACUUUUGUUCAGUUCUUUACCAACAUUUAUUGACUUUAUUUCUGCUUAAUGAUACAGCAGUGACAUCAAGUCCAGCCCUUUGUUUGCAGGUCAGUAGAUUUAAAUGCUCACUAGAACAAGAAUUCUGUGUGAUCAUUAAAUGUAUUUUUAACAAGUGUCCUUUCAAAACAUCUCAAGGUAACGUUGAAAGAAAAAAAAAAAAGAAAAAAAGCAAACAACAGGAAGAACUGAGAAUCAUUUGCAUAGAAAUGAUGACAUUCCAUCAUGAAGUCCUAAUUUGUGCCUAUGUUUUAGGAUGUUUAUGGUGAUUCCAGGGCUGAUUACCAUAUUAAUGUCAUGAAAAUAAUAAAAAUGUACUGAUUUAGUGCAUUACUCCCUUAAACCAGUCAUAAGAAAAGAUUUACCUCAGUUAUUCUGUGGUAAAAAUUAUAUUACUCAUUUUCUUCAUCUUCAGUGCAUGUGGUAACACAGAAAUAUCACUUUGCAAAGUGCUUUAUAUCAAGGGAAUUCCAGACCACAACAAAGGAGUGCAUGUUAAAAUCAUGAGAAAUGCAGUUCAAGGUGAUUCAUGAAGGAAAUAAUCAGUGUUUAUGAAUGCUAAAAUGCGUUACUCAACUACGUGCUACUAAAUUAUGCCUAUGCAUAAAAGGGGAGCGUGCUUAACACUGUAACUAGGAAAGCUUUACUGUAGUCAGAUUGGACUGAAAAAAAAAUAGUAAGGGAAAGAGAAGUUGAAUAAUAACAUUUGUUUCACUUUGAAAUCAACUCCUUUUUAGUAAGAUGGUGAAGCUGUGAAAAUGGCUUUAGGAGCAAAGAUGCGAGAGGUGGUAGGGACCGAACAGAGGUCUAGAAAGCACAGGCUCUGAAGAAAGCCUUUAUGAACUGGGAUUCUUUUAGAUUAAAAAAAGAGAAGGCAAGGGCUAGGUGACUUCACUUUCAGUUUUAU